UACAGAGGCCUCGAGCGUUAGGCGGAAUCACUGGGCUUAAAGCGUGUGUAGGUGGAGUUCUAAGUACCUUGUGAAAUCCCACGGCUCAACCGUGGAACUGCUGGGUAUACUGGUUCUCUUGAGGUACCUAGGGGCGAGCGGAACAAGUGGUGGAGCGGUGAAAUGCGUAGAUAUCACUUGGAACGCCAACGGUGAAAACAGCUCGCUGGGGGUAUCCUGACACUGAGACACGAAAGCCAGGGGAGCAAACGGGAUUAGAUACCCCGGUAGUCCUGGCCCUAAACGAUGUCCACUAGAUCGCAGCGCCUUUGACGGCGUUGUGGUCGAAGCAAAAGUGCUAAGUGGACCGCCUGGGAAGUACGGUCGCAAGGCUAAA
rnacentral:rRNA from 1 species